rnacentral:lncRNA from 1 species
GCUGUUGCUCAGUAGGAGAACACUUGAGUAAUCUACACAGGCUUAGGUUUGUCGGCUAACUAUGUAAAAGAGGUCCCCAUGGAAUUCCAAAUUUAAGAUUAGUAGCCCAAGAGUGUUGGGUGGGUAAACCAUUUGGUCCCUAGACCCACCCUCCCUCCACCCCAUGCUGUCCUAAUGCGGGUAUUUUCCAAGUGCCUUUUCUGUGCCCUACAGAGAAUGUGACCACCAUAGAUGUUUCUGGAGAAACUUUUUUUUUUUUAUCGAGACAGGGAUUCUGUGUCCUGUCCUGGACUUCGUAGACUAGGCUGGCCUCAACUCACAGAGAUCUACCUGCUUCUGCUGGGAUUAAAGGCGUGCACCACCACACCUGGCCCUGAGGAAACUUUUAAAACCUUGUACCUCUAAAAGGAUACAAGACCCAAAUGUCAUUAUUCCAGUAUCUAUGACUGGUCAGCCACAAGAGCUUUUGUGCCCCAGAGAUGGAUUAUGAGAGACCCGAGGGCCUGCGGAGAGGAGCAGAGCUGGCAGUCUGCCCAUGGUGUCUUAGUAGUGGGUGCGUGUGUCCUUGUUAAACUGCCCCAGCUGAGGCUGGAGGAGGAAACAGUUGGCUCAAGCCUGCAUGUCACUCCCCUACCAGGAGCUCAGAUUCAGUGACAGUGCAGAAAAAUAAAAUCAGAAGUAGACAUGGUGGUGGCAUGCACUUAUUUCUUGGGAGGUAGACACAGUUCAGGGAUAGCCCAAGCUAUGUGAGACCCUGUCCAUAAAUAAAUAAAAACCAAAUAUUUCCGAAGAACAAACUUAAGAGGCAGAAUACAUAGGUGAACAUAGUAGUGUAAGGCAUUGUUUGUGAGAAUGUUAGUGCUCCGUUUGCACACAGACCAAUGUGGAAGGAACUGCAUGCACAAUGGUAGUGGCGGAACUGUGAUCCCUGCUGUUGGCAAUAAACAGGUUUCCUGAGUCUCACUGAUGCCAGAGUCUCCUGUGUGUUUCCUGGAGUCCGUUCUCUUGCUUAGUCUUACAGCUGUGGAUCAGGUGAGAAGAUUGAGGUAGAGAGGCCCAAGGUCACAUAGCAAGGGACCACAGGAUCAGCCCCAGGGAUGUCUCCCGAAGCCUGACUCUUCAAGCCAUACUGUCCCCUCUCACUGCAAUCAAAGAAGACAUAGGCUAGUGCUUACAGCACAGGCACACCGCUUAGACACACUAGGCUGCUAUGACUCCCCAGUCCCACAGAGCGCUCUCUCUCUCUCUCUCUCUCUCUCUCUCUCUCUCUCUCUCUCUCUCUCUCUCUCGCUCUCUCUCCGUUCUGUUUCCACUUCGAAGAGAUUUGUUUAGUCUGCUGUUUAGCCUACUGAAAACACUUUGUGUGUUGUGUGUGUUUUUAAAGAACUGUUUUUGAUUAUAUGUAUCACAUGUGUGUGGGUGACUGUGCAGACCAGAGGAAGUUGGAACCCCUGGACUGGAGUUAAAUGCAAUUAUGAGCCACCCGACAUGGGUGCUGGCAGAUGGACCUGGGUCAUCUGCAAGAGCAGUGCACACUCCUAACCUCUGAACCAUCUGUCCAGGUCCUUAUAUUGUCUUGUGAGACAGGAUCAAAUUUUCGAUCCUCCUGCCUCAGCUUCCAGCAUACUGGGAUUAGAUGCAUGAAACCUCUCCUCCGGAGAAGGGGGGAGGGGGGCUGGAGAGAUGGCUUAGUUCUUCUGAAGGUCCUGAGUUCAAAUCCCGGCAACCAUAUAGUGGCUCACAAUCAUCCAUAAUAAGAUCUGAUGCCCUCUUCUGGUGUGUCUGAAGACAGCUACAGUGUUCUUACAUAAAUAGGGAGGGUAUAGGGAACUUUUGCGAUAGCAUUUGAAAUGUAAAUAAAAUAUUUAAUUAAAAAAAGUAAACUAGAGAG